rnacentral:rRNA from 2 species
GACGCUGGCGGCGUGCCUAAUACAUGCAAGUCGAACGAGUUCUCGUUGAUGAUCGGUGCUUGCACCGAGAUUCAACAUGGAACGAGUGGCGGACGGGUGAGUAACACGUGGGUAACCUGCCCUUAAGUGGGGGAUAACAUUUGGAAACAGAUGCUAAUACCGCAUAGAUCCAAGAACCGCAUGGUUCUUGGCUGAAAGAUGGCGUAAGCUAUCGCUUUUGGAUGGACCCGCGGCGUAUUAGCUAGUUGGUGAGGUAAUGGCUCACCAAGGCGAUGAUACGUAGCCGAACUGAGAGGUUGAUCGGCCACAUUGGGACUGAGACACGGCCCAAACUCCUACGGGAGGCAGCAGUAGGGAAUCUUCCACAAUGGACGCAAGUCUGAUGGAGCAACGCCGCGUGAGUGAAGAAGGCUUUCGGGUCGUAAAACUCUGUUGUUGGAGAAGAAUGGUCGGCAGAGUAACUGUUGUCGGCGUGACGGUAUCCAACCAGAAAGCCACGGCUAACUACGUGCCAGCAGCCGCGGUAAUACGUAGGUGGCAAGCGUUAUCCGGAUUUAUUGGGCGUAAAGCGAGCGCAGGCGGUUUUUUAAGUCUGAUGUGAAAGCCCUCGGCUUAACCGAGGAAGCGCAUCGGAAACUGGGAAACUUGAGUGCAGAAGAGGACAGUGGAACUCCAUGUGUAGCGGUGAAAUGCGUAGAUAUAUGGAAGAACACCAGUGGCGAAGGCGGCUGUCUGGUCUGUAACUGACGCUGAGGCUCGAAAGCAUGGGUAGCGAACAGGAUUAGAUACCCUGGUAGUCCAUGCCGUAAACGAUGAAUGCUAGGUGUUGGAGGGUUUCCGCCCUUCAGUGCCGCAGCUAACGCAUUAAGCAUUCCGCCUGGGGAGUACGACCGCAAGGUUGAAACUCAAAGGAAUUGACGGGGGCCCGCACAAGCGGUGGAGCAUGUGGUUUAAUUCGAAGCAACGCGAAGAACCUUACCAGGUCUUGACAUCUUUUGAUCACCUGAGAGAUCAGGUUUCCCCUUCGGGGGCAAAAUGACAGGUGGUGCAUGGUUGUCGUCAGCUCGUGUCGUGAGAUGUUGGGUUAAGUCCCGCAACGAGCGCAACCCUUAUGACUAGUUGCCAGCAUUUAGUUGGGCACUCUAGUAAGACUGCCGGUGACAAACCGGAGGAAGGUGGGGAUGACGUCAAAUCAUCAUGCCCCUUAUGACCUGGGCUACACACGUGCUACAAUGGAUGGUACAACGAGUUGCGAGACCGCGAGGUCAAGCUAAUCUCUUAAAGCCAUUCUCAGUUCGGACUGUAGGCUGCAACUCGCCUACACGAAGUCGGAAUCGCUAGUAAUCGCGGAUCAGCACGCCGCGGUGAAUACGUUCCCGGGCCUUGUACACACCGCCCGUCACACCAUGAGAGUUUGUAACACCCGAAGCCGGUGGCGUAACCCUUUUAGGGAGCGAGCCGUCUAAGGUGGGACAAAUGAUUA